rnacentral:tRNA from 1 species
AGCCUUAUAGUCAUAAAAAUGAUUUUAAAUUGCAAAUUUAAAGGAGAUAAAAUAUCUAAGGCUU